CCUACGGGAGGCAGCAGUGAGGAAUAUUGGUCAAUGGCCGCGAGGCUGAACCAGCCAAGUCGCGUGAGGGAAGACGGCCCUACGGGUUGUAAACCUCUUUUGUCGGGGAGCAAAACAAGUCACGUGUGACUCAUUGAGAGUACCCGAAGAAAAAGCAUCGGCUAACUCCGUGCCAGCAGCCGCGGUAAUACGGAGGAUGCGAGCGUUAUCCGGAUUUAUUGGGUUUAAAGGGUGCGCAGGCGGAGGUGCAAGUCAGCGGUAAAAUUGCGGGGCUCAACCCCGUCGUGCCGUUGAAACUGGAUUCCUUGAGUGCGUGAGAAGUAUGCGGAAUGCGUGGUGUAGCGGUGAAAUGCAUAGAUAUCACGCAGAACUCCGAUUGCGAAGGCAGCAUACCGGCGCGCAACUGACGCUCAUGCACGAAAGUGUGGGUAUCGAACAGGAUUAGAUACCCUAGUAGUC
rnacentral:rRNA from 1 species